GAGCUUGAAUAGAGACAGUAACCAGCUGCUAAUAGGUUGUUUCCUGGUUGACAAACAUUCAUGAUGCAUUUUUGUUCUUCUUGAUUAAGCGUAGAGUCAUCAUCAAUGUCAAAGAGGCAUUGCUUAUCAGGCGCAUAAAUCCCAAAAAUGGAACCAGUGGUCAAGGCAGUGUCGAUAUUAGCUGAGCCAUCAAUGGGAUCAAACACAACCACAUAGUUUCCAGAGUAUGUUUCUUCAACUGCAACUGGCACGUCUUCUUCCUCUGAGGCUAUAAUCCCUCAUUCGAAAUGACGUCGAGUUUCUUCUGGUCUUCGCCUUGGACAUUGAUGGUACCAUGGCCGCCGGUGAGGUUGAUAAUACUGGAUCUCUGCAACAGCGAAGCAAUCUGUUUACACGCCAGAGAGAUACUGGAGAGGACGAUGGUUAGUUCGGCGUCGAUUUGCCCCGAUUGUUCUUGUUUCAGUAGCCAUGUGGUUAGGUUUUCCACAUCGAAUCCGGAUCGG
rnacentral:misc_RNA from 1 species